UAGCAUACAAUCAACGUUUUAAUACAAACAGCCAAAAUGGCAUUUGGGGAAACACUUCCCAAAACAACAAAAACAAAACAAAUGAUCAGAAAGUACCCCUCAUUCACUUAUAAACUCAUUAAAUCAGAGAAAACAACAGAAUUCCCACCUGAACAUUUACACCACUACAUGAACUAAACUCAAGACAUCAAGGCAUCUUUGGCUCAAAGUGUUAAGAACAAAUGUAAAUAUGGCUUUUAAAGACAGAUAGCAUUGCGAUUUGCUUAAGGAAAACUCGCUUCUACAAAUCAGUCACUUAUACCCGUACAAAAGAAAAACAGUCAGUGUCAAACUGUAUUCCUGGAGGGCCGCAGCUCUGCAGUUUAGCUCCAACCCAAAUCAAACACAGCUGAUCCAACUUAUCACGGUGUUCAAGACUACUGUAUUAAGCAGGUUGAGUUAAAGAUGGUUGAAGUUAAAUUAUGCAAAGCUGCGGCGCUCCAGGAAUUGAGUUUGUGGCCACUGCAUUAGAGCAAAACAAAUGUCUCAUAUAAUAAACCAGGGGUGCCCAAACUCAAUAAUGAGGGUUGGUGUUCAGCAUAUUUUAGUUCUAACCCCAAUUAAACACACAUGAACCAGCUGAUCAAGCUCUUUCCAGGUUUACAAAAACUUCCAUGCAGGUGUGUUUGAUUAGAGUUGGAGCUAAACUCUCCAGGACACUGGCCCUCUAGUUUGGAGACACAGAGACAGACAAACACACACACAUUUUGGCAACUCUUUUCAACAUGUCAGCUUUUCCUCCCUAAAGUCUAAAACGGAAAUCAAAGACAGGAAAUCAGAGAGGAAACACACGGAUGAGGUCAGCUGGAAAACAGCAAGUGUUCACUGUAAAAAAACAAAUGUAAAUGAGCAGUUUUCCAUAUUUUGUGAUGUUUGUUUUAAUUUUUCUCCAUUUAUUUCUGUUUUGAAUUGCAUUAUGGGAGCUUAAUCUUUCCUCCAACAACUUUUAACCUUGAAAAGUAAAAAAAAAAAAA
rnacentral:lncRNA from 1 species